AUUGAACGCUGGCGGCAGGCUUAACACAUGCAAGUCGAACGAAGUGGCGAACGGGUGAGUAACGCGUAAUCAACCUGCCCUUCAGAGGGGGACAACAGUUGGAAACGACUGCUAAUACCGCAUACUGAAGGAGGGGAUUGCGUCUGAUUAGCUAGUUGGAGGGGUAACGGCCCACCAAGGCGAAGAUCAGUAGGCGGUCUGGGAGGAUGAACGGCCACAUUGGGACUGGGACCCGGCCCAGACUGCUACGGGGGGCAGCAGUGGGGGAUCUUCCGCAAUGGACGAAAGUCUGACGAAGCAACGCCGCGUUAGUGAUGACGGCCUUCGGGUUGGAAAGCUCUGUUAAUCGGGACGCGGUACCGGAAUAGAAAGCCACGGCUAACUACGUGCCAGCAGCCGCGGUAAUAC
rnacentral:rRNA from 1 species